rnacentral:lncRNA from 1 species
AUGAAGACACUUUAUUUCAUUUGUUUCUUCUUCCAAAGCUUCAUGCAUCUGGUGGAUGCAGGAGCAUUGUCUGCAAGUGCAGAGAUUGUGGGCAUAAAUGGAGGCCUUCUUAAUGGAGCCUUGAUUGCCAAUGCAGCUAACCCAGGUAUUGUUAAUGGAGCUUUGCUGGGUGGGCAGCCUCAGAUAGCACAGGUCAUCCCAGGUGUUUCACCUAUCGUUGUCCUGCAGCCUGGCAUUGGUCUGGCUCAGGCCGGACUGCCUAUCAUUCCUGAUCUUGCACUACAGCAGGGCCUCUUGCUUCCUCUACAACAACAGCAGCCUGGCAUCCCCCAGGGCCAACUGCUGCAACUGCCCAAUGGGGGGGCCCCUUUAUUAGCAGUGCUACAGCAAGCGAAUGUAGUAGCAGGGCUGCAGGUACCGGCACCAAACCAACUACAACUCAUAAAGAUUCUUCCAGUUGCCGGAGCAAAUGGCAACCUGCAGUUACCGGCACUCCAGGCAGCUGGUGUACAGGCAGCUGGCAAUGGAGCACAGAGAGUCAAGCAUUCAGCACCUGCAAACCCAAAUCCAGCAGUGCCAGGCUCAGAGGCUGCAUCACUUUCCAGUGGUCGGCCAGCGAUGUCUCUUGCUGAAGCUCUAAAGCUUCCUUCAUUUCAAUCCAAAAUAAAUCCGUCCAAAUAAAUACCUGGAACACAUCAAUACCAACCUUCCUCUGCAGGUACAACAUGAAUCAUCGUGAUGGCACACCGGGAUCCUGCAGCAUUAAAUGAUACUAAAAAGAAUAUUCAUGGAAAUUUAAAUGUUAGUUAAGAUGUCUAAUUACUACUGUUUUAAGAUUAGAAUAAUAAAAUUCUGUUCUUAUGUUGAAGAUACAGACUAAUAGUUUCUGUGCUUGAUGUAUGUCUAUUUUAAAAUGAUUGAUGAAUAAAUAUGUUAAUAUCACAAGUU